rnacentral:rRNA from 1 species
GACGAACGCUGGCGGCGUGCUUAACACAUGCAAGUCGAACGGCAAGGCCCUGCUUUUGUGGUGUUCUCGAUUGGCGAACGGGUGCGUAACACGUGAGUAACCUGCCCUUGACUUUGGGAUAACUUCAGGAAACUGGGGCUAAUACCGUAUAGGAGCUCCUGCUGCAUGGUGGGGGUUGGAACGUUUCGGCGGUUGCGGAUGGACUCGCGGCUUAUCAGCUUGUUGGUGGGGUAGUGGCUUACCAAGGCUUUGACGGGUAGCCGGCCUGUGAGGGUGACCGGCGACAAGGGGACUGAGAGACGGCCCAGAGUCGUACGGGAGGCAGCAGUGGGGAAUAUUGCACAAUGGGCGGAAGCCUGAUGCAGAAACGCCGCGGGCGGGAUGACGGCCUUCGGGGUGUAAACCGCUUUCGCCUGUGACGAAGCGUGAGUGACGGUAAUGGGUAAAGAAGCACCGGCUAACUACGUG